rnacentral:rRNA from 1 species
GGGCUAAUUCCCCAUAAAUACAGAUGGCUGGAAUGCUUCUGUAUUCAAAGCUCCGGCGCCUGAGGAUGAGUCUGCGGCCUAUCAGGUUGUAGUCAGGGUCAUGACCUGACUAGCCAGCGACGGGUAUGGGGUGUGAGAGCACUUGCCCAGAGAUGGUUUCUGAGACACGAAACCAGGCCCUACGGGGCGCAGCAGGCGCGAAAACUUCGCAAUGCGGGAAACCGUGACGAGGGGAUUCCAAGUGUCUAUGCAUUGCAUAGACUGUUUUUUAGCCUAAAUAGCUAUUAGAGUAAGGGGUGGGCAAGACCGGUGCCAGCCGCCGCGGUAACACCGGCACCUCGAGUGGUAGCCACUAUUAUUGGGCCUAAAGCGUUCGUAGCCGGUUUGGUAAAUUCUUGGGUAAAUCGUACCGCUUAACGGUGCGGAUUCCGAGGACACUACCAGACUUGAGACCGGGGGAGAUCAGAGGUACUUGUGGGGGAGCGGUGAAAUGUUGUAAUCCCACAGGGACCACCAGUGGCGAAGGCGUCUGAUCAGAACGGCUCUGACGGUGAGGAACGAAACCCUGGGGCGCAAACGGGAUUAGAUACCCCGGUAGUCCAGGGCGUAAACGCUGC